CAGUCGCCGCGGUAAUACGUAGGUCCCGAGCGCUGUCCGGAUUUAUUGGGCGUAAAGCGAGCGCAGGCGGUUAGAUAAGUCUGAAGUUAAAGGCUGUGGCUUAACCAUAGUACGCUUUGGAAACUGUUUAACUUGAGUGCAAGAGGGGAGAGUGGAAUUCCAUGUGUAGCGGUGAAAUGCGUAGAUAUAUGGAGGAACACCGGUGGCGAAAGCGGCUCUCUGGCUUGUAACUGACGCUGAGGCUCGAAAGCGUGGGGAGCAAACAGGAUUAGAUACCCGAGUAGUCCCUGUCUCUUAUACC
rnacentral:rRNA from 1 species